AUGGCCUGGACCCCUUUCCUCCUCAUGCUCCUCUCUCACUGCACAGGUUCCCUCUCCCAGCCUGUGCUGACUCAGCUGCCCUCCCUCUCUGCAUCUCCUGGAGCCACAGCCAGACUCACCUGCACCCUCAGCAGUGGCUUCAGUGUUGGCAGCUAUGCUAUAGCCUGGUUGCAGCAGAAGCCAGGGAGUCCUCCCCGGUAUCUCCUGGUGUUCAACUCAGACUCACAAAAGCAUCAAGUCUCCGGGGUCCCCAGCCGCUUCUCUGGAUCCAAAGAAACCUCUGCCAACGCAGGGCUCCUGACCAUCUCUGGGCUGCAGGCUGAGGACGAGGCCGACUAUUACUGUGCUACAGCUCAUCAGAGUGAGAGCAGCAUCAGUUACUCACAGUGGCUCAGAAGACGAGGAAGAUUGAACUCCAUCUCCACGUUCAUUUCCAGGAAGAAGGACAAGUUCUUGCUGGAGUUUCAUUCCCCAGGGCUCUGUGUCUGGGGAGGAUGGUGA